AUCUAGGUAGCUUAGGUAGAGCAUUUCAUUGAAGAUGAAAAGGAAUUUUUUCUUAGAUA
rnacentral:tRNA from 1 species